rnacentral:rRNA from 1 species
ACGCUUUUUCUUUCACCGGAGCUUGCUCCACCGAAAGAAAAAGAGUGGCGAACGGGUGAGUAACACGUGGGUAACCUGCCCAUCAGAAGGGGAUAACACUUGGAAACAGGUGCUAAUACCGUAUAACACUAUUUUCCGCAUGGAAGAAAGUUGAAAGGCGCUUUUGCGUCACUGAUGGAUGGACCCGCGGUGCAUUAGCUAGUUGGUGAGGUAACGGCUCACCAAGGCCACGAUGCAUAGCCGACCUGAGAGGGUGAUCGGCCACACUGGGACUGAGACACGGCCCAGACUCCUACGGGAGGCAGCAGUAGGGAAUCUUCGGCAAUGGACGAAAGUCUGACCGAGCAACGCCGCGUGAGUGAAGAAGGUUUUCGGAUCGUAAAACUCUGUUGUUAGAGAAGAACAAGGAUGAGAGUAGAACGUUCAUCCCUUGACGGUAUCUAACCAGAAAGCCACGGCUAACUACGUGCCAGCAGCCGCGGUAAUACGUAGGUGGCAAGCGUUGUCCGGAUUUAUUGGGCGUAAAGCGAGCGCAGGCGGUUUCUUAAGUCUGAUGUGAAAGCCCCCGGCUCAACCGGGGAGGGUCAUUGGAAACUGGGAGACUUGAGUGCAGAAGAGGAGAGUGGAAUUCCAUGUGUAGCGGUGAAAUGCGUAGAUAUAUGGAGGAACACCAGUGGCGAAGGCGGCUCUCUGGUCUGUAACUGACGCUGAGGCUCGAAAGCGUGGGGAGCGAACAGGAUUAGAUACCCUGGUAGUCCACGCCGUAAACGAUGAGUGCUAAGUGUUGGAGGGUUUCCGCCCUUCAGUGCUGCAGCAAACGCAUUAAGCACUCCGCCUGGGGAGUACGACCGCAAGGUUGAAACUCAAAGGAAUUGACGGGGGCCCGCACAAGCGGUGGAGCAUGUGGUUUAAUUCGAAGCAACGCGAAGAACCUUACCAGGUCUUGACAUCCUUUGACCACUCUAGAGAUAGAGCUUCCCCUUCGGGGGCAAAGUGACAGGUGGUGCAUGGUUGUCGUCAGCUCGUGUCGUGAGAUGUUGGGUUAAGUCCCGCAACGAGCGCAACCCUUAUUGUUAGUUGCCAUCAUUUAGUUGGGCACUCUA